UACGAAGGGGGCUAGCGUUGCUCGGAAUCACUGGGCGUAAAGGGUGCGUAGGCGGUCUAUUAAGUCAGUGGUGAAAGCCCCAAGCUCAACUUGGGAACUGCCAUUGAUACUGAUGGACUUGAGUACAUUUGAGGUGGGCGGAAUGUGUCAUGUAGCGGUGAAAUGCUUAGAUAUGACACAGAACACCGAUUGCGAAGGCAGCUCACUAAACUGUAACUGACGCUGAGGCACGAAAGCGUGGGGAGCAAACAGG
rnacentral:rRNA from 1 species